CAGGGUUGUAAAGCGGAGACACUGACCCAAACUGACCAGUGAAAGUAGGAGUAAACGUUCUCCCUGAACCGUCUGGUG